rnacentral:lncRNA from 1 species
AACACUAGCAAAGACCUGGAAUCAAUCUAGAUGUCCCUCAACAGUGGGCUGGAUAAAGAAAACAUGGCUACAUAUACAUCAUGGAAUACUAUACAGCCAUCGGAAGAGUGAAAUCAUGUCCUUUUCAGCAAUAUACCCUUAUCUAGGCGCCACGGCAAGGUCACCAGACUUGCUGAGCAAAAUCCUGAUUACAGCCCCCUGGGGAACAUGGGGGAGGUCACGAGAAACGUGGAUAAACCUAUGUUAUACCCUCUUGUAAAUUUCUACAGUCACGAGAUGAUAUGCGGUAAAGUUAACCGACAACCCCAGGGUCUCUCUCCCCCAUAUAAACCCCUCAUUUUGUAAGCUCAGGGCUGCCUCCUCUGACUAUGGUGGAGCAGCCUGGCAGGUUAAUAAACUUACUCGCCUGACCUUGAAUCUCCCUCUCUCUCCUCCUUUCUCUCGGCUAACCUUACAGAAUACGCAUGGAUAUAAAGAUGGGACCAAUAGACUCUGGGGAC